rnacentral:rRNA from 1 species
GACGAACGCUGGCGGCGUGCCUAAUACAUGCAAGUCGAGCGGACUUUCCGGAGUGCUUGCACUCCGGAUGGUUAGCGGCGGGCGGGUGAGUAACACGUAGGCAACCUGCCCAUAAGACCGGGAUAACAUUCGGAAACGAAUGCUAAUACCGGAUAGACGGACUUCUCGCUUGAGGGGAUCGGGAAAGGCGGAGCAGUCUGCCGCUCAUGGAUGGGCCUGCCGCUCAUUAGCUGGUUGGUGGGGGAGCGGCCUACCAAGGCGACGGUGCGAAGCCCAACUGAGGGGGGGAUCGGCCACAGUGGGGCUGAGACACGGCGCAGCCUCGUACGUGAGGCAGCAGUAGGGAAUCUUCCGGAAGGGGCGGAAGUGUGACGGAGCAACGGCGCGUGAGUGAGGAAGGCCUUCGGGUCGUAAAGCUCUGUUGCCAGGGGAGAACGAGUAGGGGAGUAACUGCCCUUGCCAUAACGGUACCUGAGAAGAAAGCCCCGCCUACUUCCUU